AAAGUGUGACUUGGUGAUGGGAACUGGUUUUUGUGCUGUUAUUUCAGUAGCGAUGGGAGAAAACAGGGCAGGCCUGAAGAACAUUUGCUUGCAGCUGUCAUCUUGAAAUUGGGAAAUUUAACUGGACAGUUAAUAUCAACACCUACAAGAACAGGAUAGAGGAGUUGCUCCAUGAUGAAUAGAUGACUCCUUUCUCCCUCAAAGCCUUUAUCUACAAAUCUCAGUUACUACUGUUGUAAGUGCUGAUGAGGCCUGGACAUCAAUACUUACCUUUAAGGAUACUUCCUUCAGAGGAGGUUUAUCUCUAAAUCAGACAUCUCUUCUAAUGGAUCUAUUGUAUAGCUCUGUGUGCACCAACUAGUACUUCCUUUGGAAGUUACCCAUACACUUUUGUCAUAGCUGGACACUGCCUUUGUUUGUGAAGCUUUUUUUCAUUCCACAGUACAGACUUCAUAUUUGAUAUUUGCCUGCAUUUUGUGUUAGCUUGUCAUGUGUUUGCUUAAAGUAUUUGGUCUUACCUACUUUAUAAGUCCUGUUACUGUUCUGCGGGAAGCUUCUUGUUUGCAAUUUAUUUGUGAUUUGCUUGACUUCUGCUUCGAAGACAAUUUGGAUAGCUUUCUCCUGUGACAGAGUAAACUUCGGAACUUUAAUAAUUUUAUGGAUUGAAAGGAUCAGCAAUAACACUUUCUGGAAUAAAUUGUUUUCGGAGAUGAAAGUGUCAAGGAGAAGCUAUUCUAAAGGACUUAAAAACCUCAUGCUAAUUAACUAUCCCUGAGAAGGAGUCAAAUCAACAUAGUGUUUCCUGAGAGAGAGGAGACAACACUGCAUGAUAACCUGCUGUCUCGUGACUAAUGGGCAAUUGAGACUGACUGCAGGAAGAAUGUGCUAAAGAAUUGAAAGAGUUAAUCACAGGAAAGCUCUGCCUUCAAACAGCACUAUUAAGGCCAAAAGUAACAAGGAACAUGGGAGCCACUUCUGAUAAGAAGGCAAGCCACAGACUCAAGGAUACCAGGAGUGUAAUCAAUGUUAAGAAUGAAAGAAUAUAAAGGAUUUUAAUAAUGUCAUAUGACAACCUUGAAAGAGAGAAAAUUAUAUAAGAACCUAACACCAGAACUCUCCUUGAGCAGAACUUUGAAGAACAACACUACACAAGGAUUGAAUCUUGGAUAAUUCCAGAGACAGACACUGUUGGUUAGAAAUGUAAUUAAGUUCCACCAUUAAUCAGGUAAUACUCAAGAUGAGUUGUGAGGUUUAACUUGCUCACUUCAGGCGUUUUA